UACGUUCCCGGACCUUGCACACACCGCCCGUCAAGCCAUGGAAGCUGGGUGUACCUAAAGUCGGUAGCCGCAAGGAGCCGCCUAGGGUAAAACUAGUGACUGGGGCU
rnacentral:rRNA from 1 species